UACGUAGGGUGCGAGCGUUAAUCGGAAUUACUGGGCGUAAAGCGUGCGCAGGCGGUUCGUUGUGUCGGUGGUGAAAUCCCCGGGCUUAACCUGGGAAUGGCCAUGGAAACUGGCGAACUGGAGUGUGGCAGAGGGGGGUGGAAUUCCGCGUGUAGCAGUGAAAUGCGUAGAGAUGCGGAGGAGCACCGAUGGCGAAGGCAGCCCCCUGGGCUAGCACUGACGCUCAGGCACGAAAGCGUGGGGAGCAAACAGG
rnacentral:rRNA from 1 species